CAUUCUCAUAAGUGGACUCGAGAAAAUGCCUCAUGCGUGUGCUGCUUGGGGCUGUACAAACCGCCGCACAAUUGAAAAUAGGUCUCGGGGAAUUACUUUUCACAGGUAAGACUGAAAAGUUGUUGACUGACACUGAUCUGGUUGUAUUUGGUCAUUAAAACAUUAUGUUCACACAACUUGACAGUAAUUGACCGUCGGAGUCAGACUAUUAAUAGCUAGUGAUAUCGCUAUUUAGCUGAAAGUCUAGGAAACCAGAAAUGUUACAUUCUUUCUUAUAUAGUUUUAGCGUAUGAUAAAUUCUGUAUCAUAAACUAAAUUGCCCGUAAUCGAGAUAUUCAUUUAUAUUGCCGUUUUUUUUUCUCAAAACUGACUCUUGUGCCGACCUACUCGUUUCGGCUAAGCAGCAUGAAUCUAAUUUAACGUUAACCGUUAGUAGUUGGCUAGCUGACAUUAGCUAACUCUUCUCACACAUUGAAGGUUUCCCAAAAACAAAGAGUUGAGGAGGCAGUGGGAAGUAGCUCUAAGAAGAGAAGGGUUUUCCGCAAGCGUGUCCUCCGUGCUAUGCAAUGAACACUUCAAGCCGGAGGACUUUGAGGACAGGUCAAAUUGUGAGGAUUAGGGAUGGAGCUAAACCAUCGAUCUUCAGCUUUCCCCCUCAUCUACAAAGACCUGUGGCAACCAGGAAAACAGGCCUCGAGGAAAGCUGAGGAGAGCUGGUCAGUGGACUGUUCUCAGAUUUUCCAAGAGAUCGAGCCUCCUCUGCCUAAUGUUGACCACCCCUAUGCAUUGCCUGCAUCUCCCACUGGUCUAAAGACCAGACUCUGUGAAGCCUUGGCUAGAGUGGAGAGUCUAGAGCACGAGUUGAGGAAUGUAAAGGACCGGGAACGGAGGGCAAAGAAGACUGUGUGCUUCUAGAGGAUCUGCAGGGAAAGAACCUCAUAAAUGAAGAUCUGAAAGAGAGACUCAGUUUCUACUCUGGUAAAAUGAAAAUAACAUCUUUUUAGACUCUG
rnacentral:lncRNA from 1 species